rnacentral:rRNA from 1 species
GUGGGGAAUCUUCCGCAAUGGACGAAAGUCUGACGGAGCGACGCCGCGUGAGUGAAGAAGGCCUUCGGGUCGUAAAGCUCUGUCAUCAGGGACGAACGGCCGGUGGAGUGGAAAGCCACCGGAUUGACGGUACCUGAGAAGGAAGCCACGGCUAACUACGUGCCAGCAGCCGCGGUAAUACGUAGGUGGCAAGCGUUGUCCGGAAUUAUUGGGCGUAAAGCGCGCGCAGGUGGGCACUUAAGUCCAUUUUGAAAGUUCGGAGCUCAACUCCGUGAUGGGAUGGAAACUGGGAUUCGUGAGUACCGGAGAGGAAAGCGGAAUUCCCCGUGUAGCGGUGAAAUGCGUAGAGAUGGGGAGGAACACCAGUGGCGAAGGCGGCUUUCUGGACGGUGUCUGACACUGAGGCGCGAAAGCUAGGGGAGCGAACGGGAUUAGAAACCCUGGUAGUCC